UCAAGUAAUUAAGUGCAUGUGGUGGAUGCCUUGGCAGUCAGAGGCGAUGAAAGACGUGAUAGCCUGCGAAAAGCUCCGGGGAGGCGGCAAAUAUCCUUUGAUCCGGAGAUGUCUGAAUGGGGGAACCCACCUACUUUAAGGUAGGUAUUGCAACAUGAAUACAUAGUGUUGCAAGGCGAACGAGGGGAAGUGAAACAUCUCAGUACCCUUAGGAAAAGAAAUCAAUUGAGAUUCCCUCAGUAGCGGCGAGCGAACGGGGAUCAGCCCAUUAAGUUAUGUGUGUUUUAGUGGAACGCUCUGGGAAGUGCGAACGUAGAGGGUGAUAUUCCCGUACACGAAAGGGCACACAUAAUGAUGACGAGUAGGGCGAGGCACGUGAAACCUUGUCUGAAUAUGGGGGGACCAUCCUCCAAGGCUAAAUACUCCUGACUGACCGAUAGUGAACCAGUACCGUGAGGGAAAGGCGAAAAGAACCCCUGUGAGGGGAGUGAAAUAGAUCCUGAAACCGCAUGCAUACAAGCAGUGGGAGCACCUUCGUGGUGUGACUGCGUACCUUUUGUAUAAUGGGUCAGCGACUUAUAUUCAGUAGCAAGGUUAACCGUAUAGGGGAGCCGUAGAGAAAUCGAGUCUUAAUAGGGCGUUUAGUUGCUGGGUAUAGACCCGAAACCAGGCGAUCUAUCCAUGAGCAGGUUGAAGGUUGGGUAACACUAACUGGAGGACCGAACCCACUGUCGUUGAAAAGCCAGGGGAUGACUUGUGGAUAGGGGUGAAAGGCUAAUCAAGCCUGGUGAUAGCUGGUUCUCCCCGAAAGCUAUUUAGGUAGCGCCUCGGACGAAUACCAUAGGGGGUAGAGCACUGUUUCGGCUAGGGGGUCAUCCCGACUUACCAAACCGAUGCAAACUCCGAAUACCUAUGAGUACUAUCCGGGAGACAGACUGCGGGUGCUAACGUCCGUAGUCAAGAGGAAAACAAUCCAGACCGCCAGCUAAGGCCCCAAAAUCAUAGUUAAGUGGGAAACGAUGUGGGAAGGCAUAGACAGCUAGGAGGUUGGCUUAGAAGCAGCCACCCUUUAAAGAAAGCGUAAUAGCUCACUAGUCGAGUCGGCCUGCGCGGAAGAUGUAACGGGGCUAAAACUAUGUGCCGAAGCUGCGGAUUUGACAUUAGUCAAGUGGUAGGGGAGCGUUCUGUAAGCCGAUGAAGGUGUAUUGAGAAGUAUGCUGGAGGUAUCAGAAGUGCGAAUGCUGACGUGAGUAACGACAAAACGGGUGAAAAACCCGUUCGCCGAAGUAUACUUUGUAUACGUGGUAGGGGAGCGUUCUGUAAGCCGAUGAAGGUGUGUUGAGAAGCAUGCUGGAGGUAUCAGAAGUGCGAAUGCUGACGUGAGUAACGACAAAACGGGUGAAAAACCCGUUCGCCGAAAGACCAAGGGUUCCAGUCCAACGUUAAUCGGGGCUGGGUGAGUCGACCCCUAAGGCGAGGCCGAAAGGCGUAGUCGAUGGGAAAAUGGUUAAUAUUCCAUUACUUCUGUGUAAUGCGAUGAGAGGACGGAGAAGGCUAAAUCAGCCUGGCGUUGGUUGUCCAGGUGAAAGGAUGUAGGCAUGUAUCUUAGGCAAAUCCGGGGUACUCUAUGCUGAGAUCUGAUAGCAAGCUGUACUUGUACAGCGAAGUGGUUGAUGCCAUGCUUCCAGGAAAAGUCUCUAAGCUUCAGUUACACAGGAAUCGUACCCGAAACCGACACAGGUGGUCAGGUCGAGUAGACCAAGGCGCUUGAGAGAACUCUGCUGAAGGAACUAGGCAAAAUGGUACCGUAACUUCGGGAGAAGGUACGCUGUUGUUGGUGAUGGAACUCGCUUCCUGAGCUGACGACAGCCGCAGAAACCAGGCCGCUGCAACUGUUUAUUAAAAACAUAGCACUCUGCAAACACGAAAGUGGACGUAUAGGGUGUGAUGCCUGCCCGGUGCUGGAAGGUUAAUUGAUGGGGUUAGCGUAAGCGAAGCUCUUGAUCGAAGCCCCAGUAAACGGCGGCCGUAACUAUAACGGUCCUAAGGUAGCGAAAUUCCUUGUCGGGUAAGUUCCGACCUGCACGAAUGGCAUAAUGAUGGCGGCGCUGUCUCCAGCAGAGGCUCAGUGAAAUCGAAAUCGCUGUGAAGAUGCAGUGUACCCGCGGCUAGACGGAAAGACCCCGUGAACCUUUACUGCAGCUUGACACUGAACUUUGACCUUACUUGUGUAGGAUAGGUGGGAGGCUUUGAAGCUGGAACGCUAGUUCCAGUGGAGCCGUCCUUGAAAUACCACCCUGGUAAUGUUGAGGUUCUAACUCUGUCCCGUGAUCCGGGACGAGGACCGUGUCUGGUGGGUAGUUUGACUGGGGCGGUCUCCUCCUAAAGAGUAACGGAGGAGUACGAAGGUGCGCUCAGCGUGGUCGGAAAUCACGCGUAGAGUAUAAAGGCAAAAGCGCGCUUAACUGCGAGACCCACAAGUCGAGCAGGUACGAAAGUAGGUCUUAGUGAUCCGGUGGUUCUGUAUGGAAGGGCCAUCGCUCAACGGAUAAAAGGUACUCUGGGGAUAACAGGCUGAUACCGCCCAAGAGUUCAUAUCGACGGCGGUGUUUGGCACCUCGAUGUCGGCUCAUCUCAUCCUGGGGCUGAAGCAGGUCCCAAGGGUAUGGCUGUUCGCCAUUUAAAGAGGUACGCGAGCUGGGUUUAGAACGUCGUGAGACAGUUCGGUCCCUAUCUACCGUGGGCGCUGGAAAUUUGAGAGGAUCUGCUCCUAGUACGAGAGGACCAGAGUGGACGAACCUCUGGUGUACCGGUUGUGACGCCAGUCGCAUCGCCGGGUAGCUAUGUUCGGAAGGGAUAACCGCUGAAAGCAUCUAAGCGGGAAGCCUACCUCAAGAUAAGAUUUCCCUAGGACUUUAUGUCCUCUAAAGAGCCGUUCGAGACUAGGACGUUGAUAGGUUGGAUGUGGAAGCAUAGUGAUAUGUGAAGCUGACCAAUACUAAUUGCUCGUGAGGCUUGACUAU
rnacentral:rRNA from 1 species